rnacentral:rRNA from 1 species
UGACCUUCGGAUCAGG